rnacentral:snoRNA from 1 species
AUAGCUGUUUCUGCUUGACUCGUUCCCUUGAAGCUAUAUUAUCCGUGUUCCUCUCGCUAUCCAUUGUUCUCUUUUAGUUCAUUUGGACGUUGGGGAACUACAUGU